rnacentral:rRNA from 1 species
GACGAACGCUGGCGGCGUGCUUAACACAUGCAAGUCGAACGGACUACUUUGCUUCGGUAAGGUGGUAGUGGCGAACGGGUGAGUAACGCGUAGACAACCUACCUCUUAGAUGGGGACAACAUCGCGAAAGCGGUGCUAAUACCGAAUGAAGUGACUUUCCUGCAUGGGAGAGAUACUAAAGGUGGCCUCUAUUUAUAAGCUACCACUGAGAGAUGGGUCUGCGUCUGAUUAGCUAGUUGGCGGGGUAACGGCCCACCAAGGCGACGAUCAGUAGCCGGUCUGAGAGGAUGAACGGCCACAUUGGGACAGCGACACGGCCCAAACUCCUACGGGAGGUAGCAGUGGGGAAUCUUCCGCAAUGGACGAAAGUCUGACGGAGCAACGCCGCGUGAGUGAAGAAGGUUUUCGGAUCGUAAAGCUCUGUUGUUUGAGACGAAUGUGCCUGUUUCGAAUAGGGAUAGGUAACGACGGUAUUAAACGAGAAAGCCACGGCUAACUACGUGCCAGCAGCCGCCGUAA